rnacentral:rRNA from 1 species
ACGCUCGACACCUACAGGAGGCAGCAGUGGGGAAUAUUGCACAAUGGGGGAAACCCUGAUGCAGCGACGCCGCGUGAGCGAAGAAGUAUCUCGGUAUGUAAAGCUCUAUCAGCAGGGAAGAAGAUGACGGUACCUGACUAAGAAGCACCGGCUAAAUACGUACAGCAGCCGCGGUAAUCUGAGCGGGCUGGCAAGGC